UUUUGAGAUUUAAAAUGGCUUUCUGGCUUGGUUGCAAAAAUUUGGAAGAAAAGGAAAAGUGUGGAUUCCCACAGGAGGGGAAGCAAUACAUUUAAAAUGCAGUCACAGAAGGUACCGGGAAUCAGGAGAAAAUGUGACCAGUGGUGGCCUUAGAGACAAUUCUCUUUCUGUGAAGAGGCAGGAGCGUACAGCUUUGGGUUUUUGGGGGGCAGAACUUUGUCACUUGCUCACUCUCUUUUGGGAGAGUGUUU
rnacentral:lncRNA from 12 species